rnacentral:piRNA from 1 species
CAGGUCAGAAAAUCCUUGCAGAG